GACUCUCGGCAACGGAUAUCUUGGCUCUCGCCACGAUGAAGAACGUAGCGAAAUGCGACACUUGGUGUGAAUUGCAGAAUCCCGUGAAUCAUCGAGUCUUUGAACGCAAGUUGCGCCCGAGGCUCCGGCCGAGGGCACGUCUGCCUGGGCGUCGCACUCCAA
rnacentral:rRNA from 1 species